CCGAAUGGGCUGAGAUUCGUCGGUUAGGCCGGCUCUGAGUGUAGACACCACCUGUUUGGUGCUGUCUUGAUGCCACAGAACAAGCACCGGCACUAGCAGGGACAGCGCCAGGCUAGCGCAGGAGCGGGCAAUGGCGCUCGCAGUGUUCUCGCCCGAAUAGGAGCGCUAAACAGAAAGAAAGACUUACUUAGAAAUGACAUCAUUCUUUCAGGAUGUCUAAUUUUAGCUCCACUUACAUGCAGGUACCACGGAAAUACUUGCCCUUUAGCCUUGUAGCUACUGCUGAUAAUGCUAAACAAAGUGUCGAGCACCAUCGCUAGCCAGCUACUGGUAGGCACAAACUCAGGUCCUGCCUAAAAGCGAAACAUUUUCAAAGCAAUUUACGAGAAAUCCCACCCUAAAUGGCAGAGUGUCUUACACGGAAGCCUCCGUCGUUAUCAGCAGGGAGGUUACGCUCGUAUUUAGCCAGAACGGCAGCCAGGGCACUCAGAGCCAGGACGGAGUUCCCCUGAACCAUAGGACUGUCCCUGAAUGCAGCACAAACCCAUUUUAGCUUCUUCACCAAGACUCAUUGACAGUUGCGUUUUCUCUCACUUUGUCGCGCCUCGGAUGGCAUCGGUUAAGUGGUCUCUGGUCCUGACAAUGACCAAGAGAGAAUCAUCGCACCGGAUUUUGGAUUAAAAUGGCUUGAUUGUGAGACUCACCAAAGCCAGGCACAAUGUUUUUUAUACUGCAGCUCUUCUUGGUCCUCUUGCCUUUUUUUGUUCUGCAUUUCCAGAUCAGCACGGCGACCCUUAACACAGCACAAAAGUCGCUGGAACCUGCUUUGGCAACUGAGCUAGAGAUAUAUGAGGAAGCCACCUCAAGGACUGCGUGGAAAGUACGAUUCAUGAACCCACGCCACGCCUGAGGCAGCAGCAGAACGCGAUGCCAUUCGGAUAGCUGGAUGUUAACCUGCAGACGAAUUUAGUCUCUGUGCCCACCUCAUACUCUUCAGACUUGACGGCAAGUUGAGGGACCAGAGCCAAAAGCUGAGAGACGACUUUGACCACCAGCGGACGAGAGUCGCAUCUUAGGUCAGGUCCGAGAUUUCUCCACAUCGACACUAUGUCGACGACCUGCAAAAAAAAAAUCUCAGCACUUUGACUUGACUUCUUCAUUGAUGAAUUCACAUUAACCACUAGAUGGCGAUUGAGAACCUCAAAUAGCUUUAGUGCUUUCAUUUGUAAGAUCGAUAAACAUUUUGCAGCCAACCUCUGCGCGGCACAGCUCCUGUAGUCCCUGCAGGGCGAGGACUGCCGGGGUCACCUGGUCGAGUUUGGUACACUGCUUCAGAGUCAACACAAUGGCGGCCAACAUGUCACUUCCGUGCUGAUGUCUCGAAGACAGGCCGCCCUGGCCAGGACCUGCUCCCACUGGGUGUCCCUCCCCAUAACCACCCUGUUAUCCGGCUGAGCCAGCAGUCGCUGAAGCUCGGGGUAAACGCGGUCCUGGACGAAAAG